ensembl:lncRNA
GAAACGUUAAACAUUAACUGUGUGCGCCGAUACACUGUAGGUGUGUUCAGUUACCCGCACACACCGAUCUGCACCGGGAGCAAAGCGUGGCCGUGAGUCCGUCUUCGGUCUGGGGUUCGCAGCAGAGAAGCAGUCGGUCAAAGGUCGACUCGCUCAGCGUGGACUUUGGCGCUGUCGCAGGCGAAAAAACAUCAAAACAGAUCUCACCUGGCGUUUGCUGAAUGAUCAGGUUAUCAGAUUCACUCCUUGUUACCAAGGUAACAACCUGAACUGAGCCCAAAAGAAGUCCUUCGUUCUCCAAAUGAACUUUUGAAUCCACAAUGGGAAACAAACCACCAACAGCAGCCUCGUCAGGAAGUGGCGGCGGCGGUGGCGGGCGGGCGCGGCAUCCCGUGCCUGUUGAAGCUGCGGUCAGGGGACCAGCCAGAGUGGCAGCCGAAUCGGUGGCGGCCGGAGCAUUGGCAGGAGCGGCGUUCGGGGCAGGCGAAGCGGGGGCGGCCGGAGCAUUGGCAUUUGCGGCGAUCGGGGCGGCGGGCGGAGCAUUGGGAGCGGCAGUGGGAGCGGCGGUGGCAUUUGCCGUGCCGGCGGUGGUGACUGGAGUGAUGUUGGCAGCUGGCAGACGCACCGUGUGUGACGGCAAGAGUAUCAGUAAAGUGUCCGGGCUGAGGGUCGUUCUGCUGGGGAGCAGCUGGUCUGAGAGGAGCUCGGUGGGGAACUUCAUCCUGGCCGAGUGUCUUCACUUCAAUCAGUUCAAGUCUGAGGAAGAACCGGACUGUUUAAAACAAAGAGGAUGGCUGAAGGAGAAAGAAGUGGUUCUGAUCAACACUCCAGAUCUGCUGCUUUCCUGGACAUCCAAUCACAGCCUGUGUGAAGCAUGCAGGCGCCUCUCUGAUCCUGGACCUCAUGUGUUCCUGCUGGUGUACAGCCUGAAGACUUCACGGAGAAACACAAAGAGAAGCUCUGCAGUUUCCUUAAGCUCUACAGUGACCGAUCAUUUGAUCAUUCACUGGUUCUGUUAUCAACACCCAGAGAGCAGAGCUCAGCGUUCAUGAGAAGAUGUUUGCAACAUCCGCCCUUAAAAGAGAUGAUCGAGAAAUGUAAAUCCAGGUUUCUGUGGAGGGAAAAGCUUGAACCGGCAGAGCUGUUAACACGACUGGAAGAAGUUGUGGAAGAGAACAACGGAGAGCAUGUUUGAGCAUAAACACGCACCAGGGAAAUCGGUAUCUACAGCUGGUGUAGAUGUUUGGUUAAGAUCUACACCAAGAUGCCUUUUCUUCAAACUGUGAUGUGUGUUGGUUUUUUGCGAGUGAGUGUGAACCUUGUUGUCUGUCCACUAACAUCUCCUCAGGCUGAAUCUUGCUCACCAAGAUGGCGCCGUUGAUGGCCGCCACGGUGCUUCGGUGCACUUUGUUUUUGUUGCUUUUGUUGUUAAUUACGUUUGCUGAGCAUUUAAUUCCACUUUAUUUUAUUACUUGUGCACUGUUGUCUUGUCUGUCUACUGUCGCCCACUAACCGCCAAGACAAAUUCCUUGUAUGUUUGGCAUAUUUUGGCAAAUAAAUGUUUCCUGAUUCCUGAUUCCUGAAGGACCUCUCACGCUUUGUCAGAACACCUUUUAUUACCUGCUCUAUGGACUCUCUGCUGACUCCUCACCCACAAGUCUUACCUGGGGGGACGAGUGAUAGAGACACAGCAUCUCACGGAUCGGAGACCAGAGACUUGGGUGUCUCCUCGCUAACAGUAAAACUGCCAGAUGUGUCCAGAUGUAAGAUGAAUUCAUUCCAUCAGGAAUGAAUAAUAAAAACAUUCACAAACCCGUAAAGAAGGAAUGGAAUAAAGGGCUUUGUGGAACAACCGACUUCGCCACGCACGCACACCUUGAGUACGGUGUCCCGCAGCGUGCACACGGAACGCGAACAUAAGCAUUGAACAGAUGAUGGACAGUUCUGGUUAGACAUGUUUAGUUUACUUCAUCAAUGCAGGUAAAACACUGUACAACUAACACACAACUAUGUAAUCAGUCGCAGACAAUAUGGAUGUGGAUUAAAAAGGAACUUGUUAAAUGACUCCAUUGUUUUCCGACUAUUGAACAAAUAGUUUUUAAAGCCUUCGCAGUACGGACGAGAGACCCUCAUAGUAAUUGUCUACUGGGGCUGUCAAAAUUACUCACAAAUGACGAAUAUUCGCUUAAAAAAACACUCAUAUUCAAAUAUCUGGUUGCGGGUCAAUAACAGGACAAGUAAUACAACCAGACAUAACUACUUUUAUAGGUCAUUUAUUUCAUUUUAAACAUAUUUUAA